CGCCCUUAGAGUUUGAUCCUGGCUCAGAUUGAACGCUGGCGGCAGGCUUAACACAUGCAAGUCGAACGGUAAAGUAGCUUGCUACUUACGAGUGGCGGACGGGUGAGUAACGUAUGGGAAUUUACCGAAUGGAGGGGGACAACAGUUGGAAACGGCUGCUAAUACCGCAUAACGUCGAGAGACCAAAGGGUUUCGACUUGCCAUUUGAUGAGCCCAUAUGAGAUUAGCUAGUUGGUGUGGUAAUGGCUCACCAAGGCGACGAUCUCUAGCUGGUUUGAGAGGAUGACCAGCCACACUGGGACUGAGACACGGCCCAGACUCCUACGGGAGGCAGCAGUGGGGAAUAUUGCACAAUGGGGGGAACCCUGAUGCAGCCAUGCCGCGUGUAUGAAGAAGGCCUUAGGGUUGUAAAGUACUUUCGUGGAGGAGGAAGGGUUUACGUAAUCGUGGACAUUGACGUUACUCCAAGAAGAAGCACCGGCUAACUCCGUGCCAGCAGCCGCGGUAAUACGGAGGGUGCGAGCGUUAAUCGGAAUGACUGGGCGUAAAGGGCAUGUAGGCGGAUGAUUAAGUUAGAUGUGAAAUCCCUGGGCUUA
rnacentral:rRNA from 1 species